rnacentral:rRNA from 1 species
ACAACUUUUAACAACGGAUCUCUUGGCUCUUGCAUCGAUGAAGAACGCAGCGAAAUGCGAUAAGUAAUGUGAAUUGCAGAAUUCAGUGAAUCAUCGAAUCUUUGAACGCACCUUGCGCCCCCUGGUAUUCCGGGGAGCACACCUGUUCGAGUGUCUU